rnacentral:rRNA from 2 species
GGGCGUUAAGUUGCAGGGUAUAGACCCGAAACCCGGUGAUCUAGCCAUGGGCAGGUUGAAGGUUGGGUAACACUAACUGGAGGACCGAACCGACUAAUGUUGAAAAAUUAGCGGAUGACCUGUGGCUGGGGGUGAAAGGCCAAUCAAACCGGGAGAUAGCUGGUUCUCCCCGAAAGCUAUUUAGGUAGCGCCUCGUGAAUUCAUCUCCGGGGGUAGAGCACUGUUUCGGCUAGGGGGCCAUCCCGGCUUACCAACCCGAUGCAAACUGCGAAUACCGGAGAAUGUUAUCACGGGAGACACACGGCGGGUGCUAACGUCCGUCGUGAAGAGGGAAACAACCCAGACCGCCAGCUAAGGUCCCAAAGUCAUGGUUAAGUGGGAAACGAUGUGGGAAGGCCCAGACAGCCAGGAUGUUGGCUUAGAAGCAGCCAUCAUUUAAAGAAAGCGUAAUAGCUCACUGGUCGAGUCGGCCUGCGCGGAAGAUGUAACGGGGCUAAACCAUGCACCGAAGCUGCGGCAGCGAACGUAUCACCCAAGACAACUUUACGGAGUUGACGAUUGACGGAGCGAAGCGACGUCAAAGCGUUCAUUAAAGUCGAGUUGGCUUAGGGAUACGUUCGUUGGGUAGGGGAGCGUUCUGUAAGCCUGUGAAGGUGGCCUGUGAGGGUUGCUGGAGGUAUCAGAAGUGCGAAUGCUGACAUAAGUAACGAUAAAGCGGGUGAAAAGCCCGCUCGCCGGAAGACCAAGGGUUCCUGUCCAACGUUAAUCGGGGCAGGGUGAGUCGACCCCUAAGGCGAGGCCGAAAGGCGUAGUCGAUGGGAAACGGGUUAAUAUUCCCGUACUUGGUGUUACUGCGAAGGGGGGACGGAGAAGGCUAUGUUGGCCGGGCGACGGUUGUCCCGGUUUAAGCGUGUAGGUGUGUGUUCCAGGUAAAUCCGGUUCACUUUAACACUGAGGCGUGA